UGAUUUUUUUUUCUAGCUUUCUGAUAUUUGAAGAUUGUUUCAAUGUGGUUCUGACAUGAACCUCUAAUGUUGCAAUUGUCUCCUUUUCCUUCGCUAUGAGGACUUAGUGUUCGAGAAAAAUUGAGUAAAAAGCGUUUGAUCAACAGUUGAAUCAAAUUUGUAGGUAAGUAAUAAAUAAAUAAUUAAUAAUAAUUGUGAUAAGUCAGUGAAAAUUAAAAUAAGGUAGUAAGAACCGAAUACAAAAAUAAAAAAUUAUCUAAUAUUUCUUCUGCACAAAAUCGACGGAAAUGAGAUAGAUAAGUAUAUAUAAAAUAAGAAUUACAACUUCGUUAAAGCUUUAUGCAUAUAAAAUUCAAAUAUAAUAUUGAUAAAACUGCGAGGAAGGCACUAAUGUGAAAAACUUUUGAGCGCUCGUUCCUUCAUACGUCGAUUGCACUCUUGCAAACCAUGGAAUAGGUAAUAGAAUAGGUAUUAUGCGGUUGCCAAGAGUGAAAUUGGCGCAUGAAUGAAUGAGCGCUGUAAAAAUUCCUGACUCCACAUCACUGCGCUUUCACUCACUUGAAUGAUUCAAGAUAUUCUUGUAGGAAAUAAUAAACCUCAGUGUGAAAUUUGCAUCGUUUUUCGAAAUGAUUCCUCAUCUAGAUCCGCGGUUCUGAAGGAGUUUAGCCAUAGCAAAAAAUACAAAGGAUUUUAUUCUCUCUCUGUUCAUAAAAACAAGCAUUUAUUUCUGGGCAAUUUGAGGUGAAGAGUUGAUUAUUUUCUCGAAUAUCUUUGUUUGCCAAAAAAACUAUUGGCAAUGAAAUUAAUACUAUGACCUAGAGAUGAUGCUGUGCCAAACAGAGAACAGAAUUGUGAAUUUUAUAGCGAGAACAAGCGCUUUUAUCUUGAUUUUCAUUACAGCUCAUUCGUCAACGUUUAAUUUGAGUAGUUACAAAACUAAUAAUUAGAAGUAUAAGUAGCGUAUUAUGUUACCUUAAAAUUCAAACACCCAGGAGUAUAUUUGAUUUUUUUCUCAAUUUUUGUGUAUAGGACGAAUAUAACUGAAUAAAUUAGGGAGUGGGGCUGGAAGUUUCCGGGGUAAGGUGUUCCGAUGGUAAUAACUUUGUAACGAAAAAAGAUGGCAAGAUAUGCAAAACAUGCUUCUAAAGCACCAAGUGGAGCGCCAAUUUGGCAGUAAUUUUUAUUACUCUUGACGGUGGUGGAAUGGCUGUGUGCACGUGCUCUCGAAACGUCACAUAACUCGCCUCAUGUUAGGAUGAAGAGGCUUACUUGUGAUGUGCUAAGUUUCACUGCUGGAGGAUUUCAGUUGAACAAUUCGCUUUGCGCAGUGAACUGCAUCAGACUUGGAAAUUUAGGAGGUUACUGCGAUAAGGGAACAUGCUUCUGUAAAGGAUACAAUGGACAAAAGUAAUUCGAUGAUCAUAAUUUUUCACAAUGUGUUCCUCUCUUGGUCAAUACAAUAAAGUGCCCUCAUUGAACAUCGGUAA